AUGCCAUGGCACUCCCCAUAUGCCACAGCACCCCCCAUGCCACAGCACUCCCCUAUGCCGGGUCACUCCCCUAUGCCGGGGCACUCCCCCUAUGCCGGGUCACUCCCCUAUACCACAGCACUCCCCUAUGCCGGGUCACUCCCCUAUGCCGGGGCACUCCCCCUAUGCGAGGUCACUCCCCCUAUGCCACAGCACUCCCCCUAUGCCACAGCACUCCCCUAUGCCGGGGCCCUCACCUUAUGUGCACAGGACACCAGGGAGCCAGGGCCACCAGGACCUCUCAGACCAGCAGCAACUAACUGGCAGUUCCAUCUGCAGACAUGGGGUUCUGCAAUAGUGCAUGGGGAGCGUGUAUGUGUGCUGUGUGAUUGUGUGAGUGCAUGUGGAGUGUGUGUGUGUGCCGUGUGUGUUGUGUGGGUGCAUGUGGAGAGUGUGUGUGUGCUGUGUGGUUGUGUGAGUGCAUGUGGAGUGUGUGUGUGUGCCAUGUGUGUUUUGUGGGUGCAUGUGGAGCGUGUGUGUGUGCUGUGUGGUUGUGUGAGUGCAUGUGGAGUGUGUGUGUGUGCUGUGUGGUCGUGUGAGUGCAUGUGGAGUGUGUGUGUGCUGUGUAGUUGUGUGAGUGCAUGUGGAGUGUGUGUAUGCUGUGUGUCAUGUGAGUGCAUGUAGAGUGUGUGUGCCGUGUGUGGUCGUGUGAGUGCAUGUGGAGUGUGUGUGUGCUGUGUGGUCGUGUGAGCACAUGUGGAGUGUGUAUGCUGUGUGUCAUGUGAGUGCACGUGGAGUGUGUGUGUGCUGUGUGUGGUCGUGUGAGUGCAUGUGGAGUGUGUGUGUGCUGUGUGAGUGCAUGUGGACUGUGGGUGUGUGCCGUGUGUGGUUGUGUGAGUGCACGUGGAGUGUGUGUGUGCUGUGGGUACAGGAUACAUGAAUGCAUGCACGUUGUGUGCACGGCUGUGAUGUGUGUUCACGCUGUGGGUUUAGUGUGUGCAUGCUCUGAAUGGUGUAUGUGCAUGUACGUGUGUGCAUGUGGUGUGAGCACAUGCAUGUAGUGUCUGUGUGCAUGCAUGUGCUGUGUUUGCAUUUGGCGUGUGCACAUGCUGUGGAUGGCAUGGGCCUGGGGAGGAGGCAUGCAGGCAGGCAGAGCAAGCACAGACCGGUGGAGGGUGCGCUCUGGCAGCCUUCUAAUUGCUUUUUCCCCAGAACUGGCCUUGGCACCUCCUCCACUGGCCGCCCCACAUCCUGGGACCUGGAGCCCUGGCAGCAGAGGAAAGGCGAAGGUCCCACUGGCACCCAUCCAGAGGGUCAGGAUGGGACGGGGGCUUCAGAGGCACCCAGAUUCUGCUGAAGGUGCCAGGACCCUGAAGGCAGCACAGGCGAGGGGGCUGGGGACACGGUGGGUGAGGAGUUUCCACCAGCCCAGCUCAUAAUUCAUAGAUGUGAGUUAAAAGGCCCCCUCCCUCCACACCUUGGUGUUUACAAGAGCAAGCUCUUCCUGUGGGCCUGGAAGGGGCUGCUGGCCACACACAAAAGGAGAUAAAAAUCUCUGUCGGGAAGGGAGUGCCAAUUCCUGGAAAACAGGCCAAGCUCAGAGGUCAGCUACGGACCCUGGCCUCUGUCCACCCACCUCAGCCUCCCCUUUCUUCAUGGGUUGCAGUCCCAGAACCCCUCCUGCUCCAGGCAGUUCCAGGAAGAUGGAGGUGAGGGCCUAGGAGAGGGUGGAGCAGGGUAGGCAAGCUGGGCAAAGACCCCCUGACACUAGGGACCCUGUGUGCAGUGGGUGAGAAGAGGCCAGGGGACCAGCUUUUCCCAACAAAGGCUCUGAGCUCAACCAAAGGAGAAAAAGCAGUGACACACCAAAGAGCGGUGCAGGGAAGAAGGAAGUGCCUUCAGACAGCGGGAAGUGAGCGGGGAAGGAGGAAGUGCCUUCAGACGGCGGGAAGUGAGCGGGGGAAGGAGGAAGUGCCUUCAGACAGUGGGAAGUGAGUGUGCCAGGGUCCCGAGACAAGCUUGGAGUACCAGGACCCCCAUAAAUCCAGAUUGGCACCUUGUGCCUACCUGGGUUCCCUGUUCUGUUCCUUGGUCUAUGUGCCCGUUUUUAUGCGAGUACCAUGCUGUUUCGAUUACUGUGGCCUUGCAGUGUAUUUUGAAAUCAGGUAGUGUGAUGUUUCCAGCUUUUCGUUGGUUUGUUUGUUCUGUUUUGCUGAAGGCUGCUUUGGCCAUUUGAGGUCUUUUGUGGUUCUAUAUGAAUUUUAGGAUUUUUUUUCUAUUUUCUAUUUCCGUGAAGAAUGUCACUGGUAUUUUACAUAAGAAUGUCAUUGGUCAUCUUCUAUUUCUACUUCUUCUGUUUUCUAUUUCUGUGAAGAAUGUCAUUGGUAUUUUGAUGGGUAUUGAAUCUGCAGAUCACUUUAUGUGGUAUAGAGAUUUUAGCAAUAUCAUCUCUUCCACUCUGUGAACGUGGGUUAGCUUUCCAUUUACCUGUGUUCUCUUCAGUUUCUUUCAUGAGUGUUCCAGUUUUCAGUGUGCAGAUCUUUCAUCUUUUUGGUUAAAUGUAUUCCUAAGUAUUUUAAUUUUUGUAGCUAUUGUCAAUGGAAUUUUUAAAUUUCUUUUUUGGGUAGUUAUCUGUUAGUGUAUAGAAAUGCUACUGAUUUUUGGAUGUUGAUUUCAUUUCAUUUCAUUUUGUUUUUUAGAGACAGGGUCUCACUCUGUCACCCAGGUUGGAGUCAUGGCAGCCUUAGACUCCUGGACGAGAGUGGUCCUCCUGCCUCAGCCUCCCAAGCAGCUGGGACUACGGGCACAUGCCACCACGCCCAGCUAUGCAUGUUGAUUUUGUAGUCUACGACUUUACUGAGUGUGUUUAUUAGUUCUAACAGCUUUUUACUUGAGUCUUUCAGGUUUUUUACAUAUAAGAUCACGUUGUCUGGAAACAAUGAUAAUUCACCUUCUUCCUUCCUUUCUCUUGCCUAAUUCCUCCGGCGAGGACGUCCGGUACUGUGUUAAACAGAAACACUGAAAGUGGCUGUCCUCGUCUUGUACCAGAUCUUAGAGAAAAAUCUCAACUUUUCCCCAUUUGACAUGAUAUAUAUAUAUAUAUUACAGAAAACCGCCCCUCCCCUUGAUAUAAACUUAACUAUAGAUUUGUCAUAUGUGGCCUUGGUGAGGUCGAGGUACAUUCCUUCUACCCUUAAUUUGUUGAGAGUUUUAUGAUAAAGGGAUGUUGAAUUUUGUCAAGUGCCUUUUCUACGUCUAUUGAGAUAAUGAUGUGGUUUUUGUCCCUGAUCCUGCUGAGGAGAGGCAUCACGCUGAUGGAUUUGUGAAUGUUGAGCCUUCCUCGCUUCCCUGGCAUGAUUACCACUUGAUCCUGGCGAAUGAACUUUUUAAUGUGCCGUUGAUUUGGCUUGCUAAUGUCUGGCUGAGAAUUUUCGCCUCUGUCUCCAUCAAGAACACGGGCCUGUGGUGUUGUGGUCUAGUCUGGUAUUGGACAUGCCGGCCUCGUAGUAUGAGUUUGGAAGGGCUGUCUCCUUUUCCAUUUUUGGGAAAAGUUUGAAAACACUUGAUACUGUUUCUUCUUUAAAUCUUUGGUAGAAUUCAGCAGUGAAGCCACCGGGCCUUGGGCUUUUAUUUUUGAUGGGAGACUUUAGUAGUGACUCAAUCUCGUUACUCGUUAUUAAUCUGUUCAGAUUUUCUGUUUCUUCAUAACUUAAUCUUGGUUGGCUGCGUUUGUCCAGGAAUGCAUCCGUUUCUUCUCGGUUAUCGGACUCAGUGUGUAAUCGUCCGUGUAGUCUCUCUGAUUCUUUUCGUUUCUGUUUUGUCAAGUGUAAUGCCUCCUUUUUCAUCUCUGAUUUUUGUUUAUAGUUAGUCUACCUAAAGAUUUCUCAAUUUGUUUAUAUUUUUUAAAAACCAACUCUUGAUUUCACUGGUUUUUUGGUUUUUUAGACAGGGUCUCCCUCUGUCGCCCAGACUGGAGUGCAGUGGCAUGAUCACAGCUCACUGCAACCUUCACCUCCUGGGCUCAAGCAACCCUGCCUCAGCCUCCUGAAUAGCUGGGACUACAGGUGCAUGCCACCAUGCCCGGAUAAUUUUUGUAUUUUUUGG
rnacentral:lncRNA from 1 species